GGAUGCGAUCAUACCAGCACUAAAGCACCGGAUCCCAUCAGAACUCCAAAGUUAAUCGUGCUUGGGCGAGAGUAGUACUAGGAUGGGUGACCUCCUGGGAAGUCCUCGUGUUGCAUUCC
rnacentral:rRNA from 1 species